AACGAACGCUGGCGGCGUGCUUAACACAUGCAAGUCGAGCGGGGAAAGUUUCCUUCGGGAAGCGAGUACAGCGGCAGACGGGUGAGUACAACGUAGGUAACCUACCCUCGAGACCGGGAUAACCUGUCGAAAGACGGGCUAAUACCGGAUAAGACCACAAGGGCUGCGGCCUUUGAGGUAAAAGAUGGCCUCUGCUUGCAAGCUAUCACUUGGGGAUGGGCCUGCGCGCCAUUAGCUAGUGGUGAGGUAACGGCUCACCAAGGCAAAGAUGGCUAGCUGGUCUGAGAGGAUGGCCAGCCACACUGGGACUGAGACACGGCCCAGACUCCUACGGGAGGCAGCAGUGGGGAAUAUUGCGCAAUGGGCGAAAGCCUGACGCAGCGACGCCGCGU
rnacentral:rRNA from 1 species